CAGUGCGAAAUUAAUAACAUGACUUAAUUACCCAUUCAAAUUUCUGAUAUUGACAUAAAUACCCCCGUUUGCCCUAAUUCUUAUUUGGAGAUAUACUCAGAUUCAUUUCAGUUUGGAAUUGCACUGCACCCUUAUUUCACUGGGUUUUCUGCGCUGCACACACCACCUUCACAACCGUUUACUAGUGGUGAAUGCAAACCCAAAGGUGACUGCACUCGCCGGAGCUGGACUGACCUGGAGGAGGAAACGCUAGUUGUCUGGUUGAAGGAGCUCUCUGUCACCCGGUGGAAAUCUGACUGGAUUUCGGGCAGGUUAUCUCAUGCAACUUGAAAUUGCAAUGAAGCAGCAGUUUCCGAACACGAACAUAAAGGGUACUCCGCACAUCAACUCCAAAAUAAUCGCUUGGAAGAGGUUAUAGUCUUCGUUGGUUCAAAUUCUAGGUUGCAGUGGAGUGGGCUUCAACAAUAAUAACGACUACAAGAUAGAUUGUGAUGACAACUAGUAGGAGCAGAUUGUUAAGAUAUGAUUAUAUUUCAUUGAUAACGUUGUAUAUUACAUGAUGAAGUCUAUAUGUACGUUGACGUGUAGUUUGUUUAUGUAUAGGCCGAUCCUCAUGCACGUUUCAUGAGGGAAAAGAGUUGGCCGUAUUUCGAGUAUUGGCAAGUAAUUUUCAGCAAAGACCGUGCUGAUGGUAUGUUUUCUGAGGAGCUGAUGGACGCGGCCAAUGCUCUCUCCAGUCGUAACACUGUGCGCUCCUCACCAUCCAGGGAAUUUGGCUCCUCGAUGGGACUGGAGGAUGAGAAUCCCAUUGUGACUCCCACUGGGUCUGUGCCUCAUGAAGGUGUGGCGGUUAGCACUAGUACUCAAUGAACAAGUUCUUCGAAUGGAACUGGAAGAAACGUAAGACCGAUGAUAACAUUGGCAGUUUGGUAGGGAUGCUUGCCAAGAUGCAAGAAGAUACAAAUGCUAGGCUCGAUUGCCUCUCUCUUUGGAUUGGCUAUGACUUUGAUUUGAGCAAGGCGCGCAAGGAGGUGUAUGAGGUCCUUGGCCGUCUUCCUCUGACUCGAGAUCAGAAGUUCGAUGUUUGUGAAAUCAUCCUUGAGAAGGUUCAACGCAUUACUUCUUCCUUGGGAUGUCGGAGGAGGACAGGUUUGCUUACGCGAUCCGCAUACUUGCAAAGUAUGGAUAGGUAAAUUGCAAGUGAUCCCAUGCGUCGGAGGGUGCUUUUUACCCUCCUUUUGUCAUUUAACCUAUUUGAACACUGUUAUGCGAUGUUUUAUUCUGUACCAGGUUGUUGUCUAAACAAACUUGAAGUAGUAGUUAUGAUUUGUUAUUGGGUAUGACCAGUCAUGGGAUAUGUUUAAUUUAGGUGGAUUGUUGGUAGUUAUUGAACUAAUCCUCUAGAAGGUGCUUUAUUUUGUAAACUAUUGAACAACUUCUGUUCGUAGACAUUGAGUUUAUGUUCAACUCACCUUGCUCUA